AUUGAACGCUGGCGGCAUGCCUUACACAUGCAAGUCGAACGGCAGCGCGGGGCAACCUGGCGGCGAGUGGCGAACGGGUGAGUAAUAUAUCGGAACAUACCCUAGAGUGGGGAUAACGUAGCGAAAGUUACGCUAAUACCGCAUACGCACUAAGGUGGAAAGUGGGGGAUUCGCAAGAACCUCAUGCUCAUGGAGUGGCCGAUAUCUGAUUAGCUAGUUGGUGAGGUAAAGGCUCACCAAGGCGACGAUCAGUAGCUGGUUUGAGAGAACGACCAGCCACACUGGAACUGAGACACGGUCCAGACUCCUACGGGAGGCAGCAGUGGGGAAUUUUGGACAAUGGGGGCAACCCUGAUCCAGCAAUGCCGCGUGAGUGAAGAA
rnacentral:rRNA from 1 species